GAGGGUAUAGCUCAAGUGGUAGAGCGCAUGCUUAGCAUGCAUGAGGUCCUGGGUUCAAGCCCCAGUACCCCCU
rfam:Camelus ferus unplaced genomic scaffold scaffold389, whole genome shotgun sequence.